AACACUUUCAACUUAGAGACAUGUGUCUCCCCACAGGUGUAAAAUGUUUCCAGGAGUGAGAAGCUUCCAUACUGGUAUGACUGGUAUUCAGAAUCACUAACAGAAACACAUCUCUCUGAGGAAGGGAAUCAUCUACAUGUGAUGAGAAAAGGAACUGAUGUGCUAGCAGAAAGAGAAGGAUCUUCCCUUCCAAGGCAGCUAUCAUGGGCUCAGAACAGCCCAUAUGCACACCUGUGUGAAACACAUCAGCCAAGCUUGAAGCAACGUGCCAGAGCUUUGAGUAUAGCCCAGGGGCCCUGACGAGAUGGACUCAACCCUGCCCCAGACAUAUGGACUAAUGUGGAGACAGUUUUGCUUCCUAAAUGACAGGUGUACUUUCUGCCCUAGAGGGAGGAAGAUGGAUUCUGCUUGCAAAAUUUUACAAAUAUUCAACAUAAAAGAAUAUGAAAACAAAUCUGGAGUGAGUUGGUCAUAUCACAGUUUCGAAGCAUCUAUAGGAUGCCAGGAUUAUCCAUCUACCUGCCGGUUCUUGCAGCCUGAAACAACACCUAUCCAUCCCUAUGUGCUACAAUUACAAAGUGGCUCUGGAUUUGCUGGGAAAUGCUAGGGAACCUGGACCACAGACACUUGAGAUUGGAGUUCCAUGGGCUGGAAUGGAAAAUGGCUCAGGAUCCUACACACUUUCAGCUGUCUGUGGGGUGUGACACUCUCAAGUCCUGUACUCAGCAUCCACGGGGAACCUUCCUGCCACAUGCAGGGAGACCUGGAAGGAG
rnacentral:lncRNA from 1 species